AAUCACUCUAAACUGAGACAGACAAGUUCUUGAGGACAGAGGCUCAGUGGGCUCGUGAAUGCUGAUUUUCUCGCUUUCCUACUGAUGCAGAGACUCUGGGUUUGCACCUUAAGCAUGGCUUGCUAGCUGUUCUGAGGCAGACAAGAAGGGGCUUCAAAGGAUCAUUAAGACUGCUGAAAGGAUCACUGGCAGUCCACUUCCAUCACUGAAGGAUCUAUAUAACUCUCGAGCCCUCAAUAAGGUCAAAAUUAUACUAAAGGACUCAACGCACCCUGGUUUUCACUUGUUUCAGCUCUUGCCAUCAGACAGGUGCUACCAAUGCUUUAAAACAAGGACCAAGAGAUUUAAGGACAGUUUCUUUCCUAGAGCCAUAAACAUUAUGAACUCCAAUAUGCACUGACCUCAUAGAUUCUUCACUUGAAUGUCAGUCUUACUGUAAUGUAAUGAGGUUUUUUUAUUUUUUCCCUUGGGGAGACUUAGUGCAAUAUACACUUGUGUGCAAUAUAAUUCUCAGCUUGCUUUUGUUGAAAGUUAGUCUUGAGUAACUCCACUCUUUAUUGUGAAAGUAUGUAACAUUGUUAAAGUUGUGACUCGUGUUUUGUUAAACGUGCACUAUGCGAUAUGUAAAUUAUGCUGAGGGGAAGUUAUCCUAAUUUCAUUGUAUGUGUAUAAUGACA